rfam:Stegodyphus mimosarum contig107634, whole genome shotgun sequence.
GCCUUCGUGGUGUAACGGUAAGCGCACUCGGCGCGUAUUCGAGAGGUCCAGGUUCGAGUCCCGGUGAAGACA